rnacentral:rRNA from 1 species
UGGGGAAUUUUGGACAAUGGGGGCAACCCUGAUCCAGCCAUCCCGCGUGUGCGAUGAAGGCCUUCGGGUUGUAAAGCACUUUUGGCAGGAAAGAAACGGCCCUGGUUAAUACCUGGGGCAACUGACGGUACCUGCAGAAUAAGCACUGGCUAACUACGUGCCAGCAGCCGCGGUAAUACGUAGGGUGCAAGCGUUAAUCGGAAUUACUGGGCGUAAAGCGUGCGCAGGCGGUUCGGAAAGAAAGAUGUGAAAUCCCAGGGCUUAACCUUGGAACUGCAUUUUUAACUACCGGGCUAGAGUGUGUCAGAGGGAGGUGGAAUUCCGCGUGUAGCAGUGAAAUGCGUAGAGAUGCGGAGGAACACCGAUGGCGAAGGCAGCCUCCUGGGAUAACACUGACGCUCAUGCACGAAAGCGUGGGGAGCAAACA